rnacentral:tRNA from 1 species
ACUUAAAUAAUUUAAAUAAAAAAAAAUUUUAAUUUGUGGAAUUAAUAAUACUAUAAAAGUUUUAAGUU